CAGCAGUAGCCGCGGGAAUACGUAGGGUGCAAGCGUUAAUCGGAAUUACUGGGCGUAAAGCGUGCGCAGGCGGUUAUAUAAGACAGAUGUGAAAUCCCCGGGCUCAACCUGGGAACUGCAUUUGUGACUGUAUAGCUAGAGUACGGCAGAGGGGGAUGGAAUUCCGCGUGUAGCAGUGAAAUGCGUAGAUAUGCGGAGGAACACCGAUGGCGAAGGCAAUCCCCUGGGCCUGUACUGACGCUCAUGCACGAAAGCGUGGGGAGCAAACAGGAUUAGAUACCCCUGUAGUCCCUGUCUCUUAUAC
rnacentral:rRNA from 1 species